rnacentral:rRNA from 1 species
GGUUAAGCGACUAAGCGUACACGGUGGAUGCCCUGGCAGUCAGAGGCGAUGAAGGACGUGCUAAUCUGCGAAAAGCGUCGGUAAGGUGAUAUGAACCGUUAUAGCCGGCGAUGUCCGAAUGGGGAAACCCAGUGCAAUUCGUUGCACUAUCGUUAACUGAAUACAUAGGUUAACGAGGCGAACCGGGGGAACUGAAACAUCUAAGUACCCCGAGGAAAAGAAAUCAACCGAGAUUCCCCCAGUAGCGGCGAGCGAACGGGGAGCAGCCCAGAGUCUGAAUCAGCUUGUGUGUUAGUGGAACGGUCUGGAAAGUCCGACGGUACAGGGUGAUAGUCCCGUACACCAAAAUGCACAGGCUGUGAACUCGAAGAGUAGGGCGGGACACGUGGUAUCCUGUCUGAAUAUGGGGGGACCAUCCUCCAAGGCUAAAUACUCCUGACUGACCGAUAGUGAACCAGUACCGUGAGGGAAAGGCGAAAAGAACCCCGGCGAGGGGAGUGAAAAAGAACCUGAAACCGUGUACGUACAAGCAGUGGGAGCACCUUCGGGUGUGACUGCGUACCUUUUGUAUAAUGGGUCAGCGACUUAUAUUCUGUAGCAAGGUUAACCGUAUAGGGGAGCCGCAGGGAAACCGAGUCUUAACUGGGCGUUAAGUUGCAGGGUAUAGACCCGAAACCCGGUGAUCUAGCCAUGGGCAGGUUGAAGGUUGGGUAACACUAACUGGAGGACCGAACCGACUAAUGUUGAAAAAUUAGCGGAUGACUUGUGGCUGGGGGUGAAAGGCCAAUCAAACCGGGAGAUAGCUGGUUCUCCCCGAAAGCUAUUUAGGUAGCGCCUCGUGAAUUCAUCUUCGGGGGUAGAGCACUGUUUCGGCUAGGGGGUCAUCCCGACUUACCAACCCGAUGCAAACUACGAAUACCGAAGAAUGUUAUCACGGGAGACACACGGCGGGUGCUAACGUCCGUCGUGAAGAGGGAAACAACCCAGACCGCCAGCUAAGGUCCCAAAGUCAUGGUUAAGUGGGAAACGAUGUGGGAAGGCACAGACAGCCAGGAUGUUGGCUUAGAAGCAGCCAUCAUUUAAAGAAAGCGUAAUAGCUCACUGGUCGAGUCGGCCUGCGCGGAAGAUGUAACGGGGCUAAACCAUGCACCGAAGCUGCGGCAGCGACACUAUGUGUUGUUGGGUAGGGGAGCGUUCUGUAAGCCUGCGAAGGUGACCUGUGAGGGUUGCUGGAGGUAUCAGAAGUGCGAAUGCUGACAUAAGUAACGAUAAAGCGGGUGAAAAGCCCGCUCGCCGGAAGACCAAGGGUUCCUGUCCAACGUUAAUCGGGGCAGGGUGAGUCGACCCCUAAGGCGAGGCCGAAAGGCGUAGUCGAUGGGAAACAGGUUAAUAUUCCUGUACUUGGUGUUACUGCGAAGGGGGGACGGAGAAGGCUAUGUUAGCCGGGCGACGGUUGUCCCGGUUUAAGCAUGUAGGCUGGUUAUCCAGGCAAAUCCGGAUAAUCAAGGCUGAGGUGUGAUGACGAGGCACUACGGUGCUGAAGUAACAAAUGCCCUGCUUCCAGGAAAAGCCUCUAAGCAUCAGGUAACAUCAAAUCGUACCCCAAACCGACACAGGUGGUCAGGUAGAGAAUACCAAGGCGCUUGAGAGAACUCGGGUGAAGGAACUAGGCAAAAUGGUGCCGUAACUUCGGGAGAAGGCACGCUGGUGUGUAGGUGAAGCCCCUGCGGGUGGAGCUGAGACCAGUCGAAGAUACCAGCUGGCUGCAACUGUUUAUUAAAAACACAGCACUGUGCAAACACGAAAGUGGACGUAUACGGUGUGACGCCUGCCCGGUGCCGGAAGGUUAAUUGAUGGGGUUAUCCGUAAGGAGAAGCUCUUGAUCGAAGCCCCGGUAAACGGCGGCCGUAACUAUAACGGUCCUAAGGUAGCGAAAUUCCUUGUCGGGUAAGUUCCGACCUGCACGAAUGGCGUAAUGAUGGCCAGGCUGUCUCCACCCGAGACUCAGUGAAAUUGAACUCGCUGUGAAGAUGCAGUGUACCCGCGGCAAGACGGAAAGACCCCGUGAACCUUUACUAUAGCUUGACACUGAACAUUGAGCCUUGAUGUGUAGGAUAGGUGGGAGGCUUUGAAGCGUGGACGCCAGUCUGCGUGGAGCCAACCUUGAAAUACCACCCUUUAAUGUUUGAUGUUCUAACGUUGGCCCCUUACCGGGGUUGCGGACAGUGUCUGGUGGGUAGUUUGACUGGGGCGGUCUCCUCCCAAAGCGUAACGGAGGAGCACGAAGGUUAGCUAAUCCUGGUCGGACAUCAGGAGGUUAGUGCAAUGGCAUAAGCUAGCUUGACUGCGAGCGUGACGGCGCGAGCAGGUGCGAAAGCAGGUCAUAGUGAUCCGGUGGUUCUGAAUGGAAGGGCCAUCGCUCAACGGAUAAAAGGUACUCCGGGGAUAACAGGCUGAUACCGCCCAAGAGUUCAUAUCGACGGCGGUGUUUGGCACCUCGAUGUCGGCUCAUCACAUCCUGGGGCUGAAGUAGGUCCCAAGGGUAUGGCUGUUCGCCAUUUAAAGUGGUACGCGAGCUGGGUUUAGAACGUCGUGAGACAGUUCGGUCCCUAUCUGCCGUGGGCGCUGGAGAAUUGAGGGGGGCUGCUCCUAGUACGAGAGGACCGGAGUGGACGCAUCACUGGUGUUCGGGUUGUCAUGCCAAUGGCACUGCCCGGUAGCUAAAUGCGGAAGAGAUAAGUGCUGAAAGCAUCUAAGCACGAAACUUGCCCCGAGAUGAGUUCUCCCUGAGACUUUAAGUCUCCUGAAGGAACGUUGAAGACGAUGACGUUGAUAGGCCGGGUGUGUAAGCGCAGCGAUGCGUUGAGCUAACCGGUACUAAUGAACCGUGAGGCUUAACCUU